GAUGAACGCUAGCUACAGGCUUAACACAUGCAAGUCGAGGGGUAACAAGAGAAAAGCUUGCUUUUCUUGUUGACGACCGGCGCACGGGUGAGUAACGCGUAUCCAACCUGCCUAUAACUAGGGAAUAACCUUGCGAAAGUAAGACUAAUACCCUAUGAUUUCCUUUGAUGACAUCAGAUUAGGAAUAAAGAUUUAUAGGUUAUAGAUGGGGAUGCGUCUGAUUAGCUUGUUGGCGGGGUAACGGCCCACCAAGGCAACGAUCAGUAGGGGUUCUGAGAGGAAGGUCCCCCACAUUGGAACUGAGACACGGUCCAAACUCCUACGGGAGGCAGCAGUGAGGAAUAUUGGUCAAUGGGCGGAAGCCUGAACCAGCCAAGUAGCGUGCAGGAUGACGGCCCUAUGGGUUGUAAACUGCUUUUAUACAGGAAUAAAGUUAGCCACGUGUGGUUAUUUGUAGGUACUGUAUGAAUAAGGACCGGCUAAUUCCGUGCCAGCCGCCGCAGUAA
rnacentral:rRNA from 1 species